AUUCUGGUUUCAUCAGCUACCCUCCUAUUUCCACAUCCCACACGCCCUGGGUGACGACCGUGGAUAAAGGUACGAGCAGCUCCAGCAGCAGCCACUGGGAGUACUCUGGCUCAAGGCGUGAGAGAGAGAGGGAGCGGGAAAGGGAAAGGGAGAGAGACAGAGACCGGACUCCAACUACCAGUGAAUACAACAAUGAUGACGAGCGAUACCGCUACUACAGUCGAGAGCGAAGCUAUGAUUUUGAGCGGGAUUAUCGCAGGAGUAGAGAUCGGAGCAGAGAGCGGGAGGAUCGCCACCGGGAGCGCAGACACAGAGAGAAGGAGGAGAGCAGUAAACAUAAGUCUUCAAGACGUAAGCAGCAUGAGAGUGAAGAGGGUGAAAGCCACCGGCGCCACAAGCACAAAAAGAACAAGCGCAGCAAAGAGGAGAAGGAGGCCAGUGAUGACGGCGUCGCAGAGGGAGAUGAACAAAAUGCUAAGGAGUAACAGCUCCCAGCUGUCCUUUAGAAGGGACUUGCUCCUUUGCAAGCAGCAUGGCAUCUAACUUUAUGUUCCAAGGGAAGCAGAGAUGACUCUGGUGGCCAAGUAUUGAAAUGCAAUGUGACAGCUCAUGCGUUAAGGCUGAACACACAGUUAAACUUGGAUACGAGACGAAGUAUGGCAGUAAUAGUAUAUACAGCACUGAGCUAUUCUUCUUGUAAAGGACCCUAGAAGAACUUCAUUAUAUCAGAUCCUAUGGUUUCUGAUGAAAGACAGCUUCAGCUGAAACUAAUGUAUUUAGGUGAUAGGGUUUUUUUGCGCAAUGAUUCCUUUUUUUAAAAAGUAGGACAGUAACUGCAAUUUGAACUCUAUUGUCCAAAGAAAAGUGUGAUUUUAGGUCCUCUGUGAGCCAUCUUAGAAUCUGGUGUCUGUUAGUGAAAGUCUCAUCCCCGGAUCCAUUUCUUUAUAGCUAUGAAAGUAUCUCUCAUUUGUCCGUGGCAGGAUUGGCAGCAUGUGGAAAGGAACUACUUUACAGGUGUGUCAUUUGAACCUGCUUUGGUCUAAUGGCUUUUAAAAGGUAGGGCAUUCAAAGACUUCAAACCCAGCUUUUUUUUUAUUAAACCCAUUGAAAAUGUAGUUCUACUUACAUGUUAUACCUGUAAAUGGAAAGUCACAUUCUGUGGAAGACUGUGAUGAGAGCAUGAGUUUCUUUUUUAAUUAGGUUGGAUUAUUUUUUUUGUAACAAUUGAGAUAAAUAAUCUAACACCUUAAGGAACAUGAAGCCCCAGCCAGCAGUUUGACAUUGUUGGGUUUAGUUAUAUUCAGCAUCACUAAUACACCUGUGCAAUGCAUUUCACUCUGCCUCCUCCUAUAGAUCUCAGAAUAAUGCCAUCAAAUUCCAUGCUCUGUUUGAUUUAGGGUUUUGGGGUUUUUUUUUAAACAGAAAUUUCUCAGUGGAAGGUGGGGGUUUGUUGUGUAUACCUGGUUCUUAAACAGAAUACUGCACUUGUUUGUGUGAAUCCACAAGUAUCUCAUUUUAAAUAUCUUCCACUUCUAUGAAUUGAUAUUUAAAAAUGUCUUAAAUCCUUCCCCAAAAUAAGAUGGUUCUGAAAUUUUACAUGAUUUUUUUGUACUGUAGUCAUGCAAGUCUGAGUGUUGUGUAAAGCUUACAACCUUUGAAACUUGAGCCCAUCCAGCAUGAUAUUAAGUUGUAUGCUAUGACACUGCAUUUGAUGGGUCAUUAACUACAAAACUUGUGGGAAGCAGAAUAAAGCAAUUUUUUUUUUGUAAAUGUGAGUUUUA
ensembl:lncRNA